UUUUUCCUACGGGGGGCAGCAGUGGGGAAUUUUGGACAAUGGGCGCAAGCCUGAUCCAGCUAUUCCGCGUGUGGGAUGAAGGCCCUCGGGUUGUAAACCACUUUUGUAGAGAACGAAAAGACACCUUCGAAUAAAGGGUGUUGCUGACGGUACUCUAAGAAUAAGCACCGGCUAACUACGUGCCAGCAGCCGCGGUAAUACGUAGGGUGCGAGCGUUAAUCGGAAUUACUGGGCGUAAAGGGUGCGCAGGCGGUUGGGUAAGACAGAUGGGAAAUCCCCGAGCGUAACUCGG
rnacentral:rRNA from 1 species